rnacentral:rRNA from 1 species
AUUGAACGCUGGCGGCAUGCUUUACACAUGCAAGUCGAGCGGCAGCGCGGGGGCAACCCUGGCGGCGAGCGGCGAACGGGUGAGUAAUGCAUCGGAACGUAUCCUCGAGUGGGGGAUAACCCAGCGAAAGUUGGGCUAAUACCGCAUGAGCUCUGAGGAGGAAAGCGGGGGACCUGCGAGGGCCUCGCGCUGGAGGAGCGGCCGAUGGCCGACUAGCUAGUUGGUGGGGUAAAGGCUUACCAAGGCGACGAUCGGUAGCUGGUCUGAGAGGAUGAUCAGCCACACUGGGACUGAGACACGGCCCAGACUCCUACGGGAGGCAGCAGUGGGGAAUUUUGGACAAUGGGGGAAACCCUGAUCCAGCCAUGCCGCGUGAGUGAAGAAGGCCUUCGGGUUGUAAAGCUCUUUCGGACGGAACGAAAUGGGCGGGACUAAUACUCCUGUCUGAUGACGGUACCGGAAGAAGAAGCACCGGCUAACUACGUG